rnacentral:rRNA from 1 species
GUUAUUCGAGCGGCCGAUAUCUGAUUAGCUAGUUGGUGGGGUAAAGGCCUACCAAGGCGACGAUCAGUAGCGGGUCUGAGAGGAUGAUCCGCCACACUGGGACUGAGACACGGCCCAGACUCCUACGGGAGGCAGCAGUGGGGAAUUUUGGACAAUGGGCGCAAGCCUGAUCCAGCCAUGCCGCGUGUCUGAAGAAGGCC